CUUUGGAAUGAGCCAGAGGCUGCCCUGUCCUUCCUGAGUCUUCUCAGCUGGCAGAUAGGAUCUCGCUAAGAGGCCCAAGUGGCCUCGAACUUGCAACCCUCCUGCCCCAGGCUCCAGAGUCCCUAGGAUUCAGGUCCUUCACACAUCUGGGCUGUAGGAACGUAAGGCCCAGAGACCUAACCGUCGUUCUCUCACCAUAGACCAGACUGCCCAGCUUUCCACUGUUUACCGUAAGUUCACGGGUUUGUCUGGUUUAUCUCCAAAUGGUCUACUUUCCUCCUUUGGCCUUUUCAUUCCUGGGUCACUUCUACUUGGUUUUCACUAGUAGAGCUUCAUAGAAUGUUUAGAAUGUUUGUUUCCUAUUCUUUUUCAAACCAUACUUA